CGUACGCGCGGUUGUGGUUGCUCGUGUUGUCAUGCUGUAGGUAGAGCUCGGUCACGUUCGUGCGUGUGUUUAUCGUCUGCCAGUUUUUUUUUGUGUGCCCGGGGAUGUCAACCUGUUGUCAGUUUUGUUUCACUUGCAUGCGAAGAAAAUGAUCGAUAGUUGAAGAAACUAGGCAGCUUGUUCGGGAUAGUGCUUACCUAAUGAUGUAUCGUACCGUGUAGCUGAUAGUUUAAUGUCUGUGAUAAGGAAAACGUUUGAGAUUUCAGCUGUGCAAACAGACCUUCCUGCUGCUGUGAUGGUGUUAUAGUGUGAUAUAGUGUUUUGUUCUCGUGUCGCUCGUGAUACGGAUUACAGCAGAAGAAGCUUCCUCGACGACGUCCUUACCGUGGACGCAUGCUCUCAACGGUUUUGGGGCGCCCCGUAAAGGAAGAGUUCAGUGAAAGCAUAGAGGGUGCGUUAGUAUGAUUGGUCUUCGAUAAGAUAAACCGAUAAGUCGUGGCGCCGCCCCCUGGACUGCCAGAGCUAUGAUAUCAGUGAAACGUCCGAGUGUUUCAAGCCACCCUAGUGCUCACCAUCAUCAUCAUCACCAUCAUCAACCACAUCACCACCAUCAUCACCACAAGCAGCACCACCAGCUCCACAGUCUCCAGAACGGAGCAUCCAGUGCCGGUUCGGUUACCUCGGCAUCCUUGGUAACGACGACUUCGGCCAACAACAAUCGUCUCAUUCGAAGUCGAAAUCAAUUAUCCACCGGUAGCGAGCAGCAGCAGGACGGAAAGCAUCAGCCCCAAACCCAUUGGAAUCCACAAGCAGGUGGAGGAGGGUUCGUGUCCAAUGGUGGUCUAGGGAUUGGUACGUUCGGUGGCGUUGCCGGUGGACAGGUGAAUCGUCCCACCGGGGCAGCGUCGUGGACCGGAACGGGAAGUGGAUGUUCGAUCAUUACGAACGGUGGCAGUCUGUACUAUAGCAGCAGCAAUGGUGGCUACGGUGUGAGCACGGCCACCGUAAAUCCCAAGAUACGGGACAUCUACGAGUUUGACAGUUUGUUCUUGCUGCCAGCGUGUGCCUUAACGUCGGACAAGGCGCUAAACCUUCGCAAGGAUCUUGCCGCGUACGAUUUCGACAUCAAAAUCCUGGAGGACAGUCCACGGGGAUCUCAUAACGUUUGGCAAUCUGGAAACAGAGAUGCGACCGUACAAAAACAGUCAAGGCCGUCUUCAGCCAAUAGAGACCGUCUGCAUGAACAGUCCGUUGCGCAUACUCUUCAUUGGUUUGCUUGCGUCGGCGAAGAUAGCGUCGAUAACGGUAGAAACGCAGAAGAAUUGCAAAAGGAACGUGAGGAACGAAUAAAACAGAUGAAGGAACGACAGAACGAGGAACGCCAGAAGAAGCUCGAGGAGCUGAAGGCACAAGCACUGGCGGCACAAAAGUUCCGCGAGCAGAAGGAGGAAGAACGACGCCGCCGAAUGGAUGACCUGCGGAGGCGGGAAAGCGAUCGACGGUCACAGGUCGAGGAGCGACGCCGCGCCAUCGUCGAGGCCGAUAACGAGCGGCGGGAGUACAUACUGCGCAAGAACCAGGAGCGCGAACAGCGCAUGGAGACGAAACGACGCAAUGAUCGAGGCUCGAUCCAGUUCGCUUUCGGUUCGUCGACGCCACGGAUGAUCGAUACCAGUGACAGUGGCAUGUGCAGCUCGUUCUGGGCUCAUAGGAGAGCCACAUCCAUUACGAACGUAGCAUAUACAGGGGCGGCAUUGACGAGGCGUAGCUCCGAGCGUGAACUAACCGACAGUGCGUCGAAGAAACGAGCUACCUCCGCCAGUGGUCUCGACCGAUCGACCGACGACCAACGGCGAAUGUCCAGCUCGAUGUACGAGGUGUUCAACUGGACGAGCACCAGCGAGUGUCCGAGAAAGCUAACGUUCUCGCUGGCCGCCGGUCCCGGCAUCAACAUCGACGAUCCACCGACGGCCGCCGAAUAUCAACCGGCCGCGGCGCGCAAUUACGCGAGCGGAAAGGACGAUACAGCAGAAAUGAACUAUCAGCGCACUGUCAAUCGUCGAAAGACCGAUCUAAUGCCUACCAUUCCUAGUCCUCGUGAUAGCUCUAGAUCGUCUCUCGGUACACACACUCCCAGAACACCAGGCCGAGCGUUUUCGAUGACACGCUUGGAUCAGCUGGCGCAACCUCGACGACGCAACGGUGAGCACAUCAGCGCCAUACUGGAACGCGAACGACGCCAAGCGCUGGAGCUUGAGAACCUGACCCGACUGUCACUCUCCUCAUCGCGGUCGUCGCCGACCGGCAGCGGUGGCAACAGCAAGCGCAUGUCGCGCAGCAUGUCCCAGCUGGCCGGCAGUGGGGCCAAGUAUCGGAACCAAUCGCAGGACUCUAACUCGGGCCGCAGUCCCGGCUUUGGCGGUGGACGCAAAUCAUCGUUCCAUUCGUCGUCCAUGAACAGUGGCAGCACUUCGCCCAUGCGUCGCAACGACACCUCCAAGAGUAUGUCCCAGCUGAACACGGUUGGCGGCACGGCCCGCAUCACCAAAACCGAGCGACUCCGGCAGCAGUACCACCAUCAGCAACAGCAGCAGCUUCAGAGUCAGCUUCUGGUGACGAACGGUCUCCGUUCCGGCGAAAUGACGCCUACCAGUCUGAACACUUCGCGGCCCGGAAGUGCAAUGUCCAGCUCGACGACCGCGUCCGGUAUCGUGUAUCGACGAACCCUGCCAGCACAACGUAAACCACGACCGGCCAGUAUCGCCGUUACGGGCGUUACGGCCUCUGGUUUGAAGGAAGAUAAGCCUCCACUCCCAAAGACAGGAUCCGGUGCGUCGACCGGCAGCGGCGUUACAAGCGCGAGCAGCAAACAUCGCUUGUCGAGCGCUGGGUCCGGCAGCAUCAACACGACCCCUGCAAAAUCAGCGUCCGGCAUGGAAACGCCAACGAAAAAACCGCUGUCGAUACACUCGGCGGAGAAACGGUCCGCAAGCGUGCGAGGCAGCACACCGAAAGCAUCCUCGACGCCGCUACAAUCUCCCGGGCCGGAGAAAGCAUCACGCAGCUUGCAGGAUUCGUUGAAGAAGGCGGCGGACGGUGGUGGUAAGAAGGCGCCAGCCAGCAGCGAAAAGCCCGCGACAACAAAGACCGCGACAGUUCCAAAGGAAGAGGUAGUUGCGGUGGAAGCAAAGCCGGAUGCACCAGCUGCUCCGAAGGCGGAAGAACAGGUCGUCGAACCGGAAAAGGUUGUGGUGCGAGAUGAAUCUUCACAGCAAGCUUCAUUGGUAGAGGUGGAUCAAUCAUCAUUCGGACAGGAGGAACAACCUCAGCAGCAGCAGGAGGAAGUAGUGGUCCCCGUACAGCAAGAAGCUCCGGCACCGGCGCUACCGACAGAGAGCUCUGAGGUACCGCAGCAGGUAGAAGUUGCGCCAGUUAAGGUGGUACCAACACCGGUGGUGGAGCAGGUCGUAGCGGAACCACAAGACGUCAGCGAACCCAAGAUGCUCCCGGAGGAGGAAACGGUCGAGGUCAUCAACGGCGGACUGACCGUUGAUGUGGCCGGUGGUGCCGCCGAUGCAAUGACCGCUUCUAUGAUCGCCAAGCGCAUCACUACCGAGGAGGAAGCAAAGGCUGCCCUGGCCGAACGUCGUCGUCUAGCACGCGAAGAAGCCGAACGGCAGGCCGAACUGGAGCGCAAGCGCAUCGAGGCCGAAGAGCAGGCCGAACGGCAGCGUGUGCUGGAAGAGGAGGAACGCUUGCGCAAGCUUGAGGAGGAAACGAUCCGGCUGGCCGAGGAGCAGCGCCGCAUGGAGGAGGAACGGCUACAGCAGGCCAUCGAGGAAGCACGCCGACGGGACGAAGAGGAACGCAAGCGUCGCGAGGAGGAAGCCCGGCAAAAGGCCGAACGGGAGGAGGCGGAGCGGAAGGCGCGCGAGGAAGCGGAACGGCAGCGCGUCGAGAUGGCCGAGCGGCUGAAGAAGGAGGAGAAGGAACGCGAGGAACGCCGGAAGCGCGUUGAAGCAAUCAUGUCCCGCACCAGAGCAAAGGGAACGGCCAACAGUACGCCGACCAAGAAUAACGAAGACGACAAGGAAAAUGCCAUGUCCAAGAGUCAGAUUGUACUUUCGUCCACGCCGGCUGCCCUACCUACCGGUACUGCCAUGUCCGCAUCUACCAUAUCGAUGACCGAUUCGUUUAUUGCGUCCGAAAUUCGGCAAGAGCAGGCCCAGCAGCAGCAGCAGCAGCAGCAGCAGCACCAGUCACUAGAACAGGCCAUGGAGUCGCUGUCGCUGAGCAACAACAAUAACAACAAUGGCAACAGCAGCAAUAGCAGUAGUAGCAGCGAAACCCUAGCCCAUAGUAGCACCAUUAACAACACCAUCAACAACAACAACAACAACAACGGUGGCAGCAACAUUCAGUUCGAAAAGUCCGUGGCGGAGAAGGAAAGCCUGCUACUGCUUGCGAGCAGUACCGCCGCCGGCGUGACCCUGGUGGCGAACAACAAUCUCAACAACGGUAGCACCAGCAACGGUACCGGCGGGGCGGUGGUCGGAUCGGAAGCCACGAACGGUGACUCGAUCGUACCGACGACGAACGGCAAGACGGAACAGCAGUCGCCAGCGAUGAUGGCGAGCAGCAAUGGCAGCAGUGCCACAGCCAACAGCACCUCGGACCUAAUCAUCGAGGAUGCGCUGAUGGGCCAAACCAACGGACACAAGAACGGCACCAUGGACAAUGUGUUAUUUACACGCGUUUCCGACAUCUGAUUGUAAUAAAGGUGGAAGGAAACCGCCCGUACCUAGCAAACCGCCGAGAUGAUUAUAGCCACACACACACAAAGUUUCCCUUUUAACUUGAGCCCCCUACCAACUACCAUCUAUAUGUAAUUUUGGGUUGUGACCCGUGAUCACACAGUACCGCGCGGGAAUAAGAAAUGAAAUCCUUCCAAUGGAAUGGAAUCCAGAUCGAUGAGCAAGAAGAAGUGCUGUGAAUGAUACACUGAAGCCCCAGACUACCGGUCCGAUGGGAUUGAACGAUUUCCACAUCCCGACAAAUGGUGAUCAUCACCGGCAUCGCGAUGACAGCCGCCUUCCUUCCCUAGCUGACCCAAACGCCGAACCCUCGGCCGAACAGCAACACUCGUCGUUCGAAUCGUCCGGCACGGCCUCCACUGUGGUGACGACCGAAACUACCAUCGUAUCGGCGGACGAUGCUGCCGCCAACAGCUGCUCCAAUGCUGAUCCGUUGAUCGAUUUCGCUAGCUUUUCUACCAGUGAGGUCAGUCAGCCGGGUCUGGUCGAACUUGCCGGCGCUGGAAGCGAUGCCAACUUCAAUCCACUCGCUCCCCUUGAUGUGCAUAACAACGACAACAACAAUAGUAUUAACCCGUUCUUCUCGAGCAACUACGAUGGUGAUGCUGCAUCUGGCGAUCACCGUGCGACGGAAGCGAUCCUCUUUGAUCUAACCCUCGAUAACACCAGCAACGGUGGUGGCACUACCAACACUAGUAGCAGUCCCUUUUUUACCAACAACAACAACAAUACCAAUACAUCACCCCCCAACAACAACAACAACAACAGCACCCCGUCGUCGUGGCUAGUCUCGGCGACAUCCGACGGUCAAGAGAAUCGAGACUUGUCGCUCUUGUGAACGAGUAAAAGGUGUGUAGGAAAAACGGGGAAAGAAGUAAAACAUGAAAUCAUUGUAUUGAUCCGUGGCACCGAUCCGGCACCAGCAAGAUGCAGUAGUUGCAGUAGUACGAGCGCUCGAUCGUCUGGAUAAAGCAGCAGCAGCAUCGGCGCCCCUCUCUAUACGCGAAGGAUGUGUGUGCGUGUGUGCGUGUGUGUGUGAACACUUACCGGCUUAAACGGUCGUUCGAAAUGUGCAACUGUGUUUUACCAAAUAGUCAAACAUAGCUAAUAUAUGGCGCGAAACAGGCGAACGAUUGGGGAAAGCUUACCGUCACGACACUCUAGGUUUCGCUGUAGGAUAGGUAGGAAACGAAGGUUAUUAGAAGAGAAAACACAGAAAUCAAAAUCAGAGUGUGAAAGGCCGGCAGGUAGAACAAACAACUGACUGACGGAGAAAAAUCGCCGGCAUGGAAGGGCGCGUCCUCCUGCUACUCUCCGCUAGUUGUUAGCAGCUAAGUGAAAGCUGGUGCAAUAGGGUUAUAUUUCUUAUCCCGCAUACACAUAACCUAUAUACAGUUGUGUUAAUCUGUGUAAAGUGUACCUCCCUUUUACCACGGUUACUUGUGUUUCGUAGAGACAUUCAUUUCGGUUGUUCUUGGCACCCAACCAACCACGUUGGCAAUAGCAAAGAAUGGGUACAUGGGGUAGUUCUCUUUUCCUGUGCGCCUUAGCGAAUGGUUUUAGCAAGCCGUUUUUGGUGUCUUUUAAACGUUCAACCAACUUACCUUGCGUGUGCGUAUGUUCCAUUUCCGUUGAAAUGUGCAAACUAUAGUAACUCAGCCCUCCCCCUCCCAUCAAAAAAGAGCAAGAAAAACAGUAAUUGUGUAUUAUAAUUUAUUGUACAACCGCGGGUGUAUGUGUAUUAGAUCCGUUAGACGACUUCCGGUUAUUUUGUUUGUCGCUGGUGAUGGUGUGGUGGUGGUGUGCUCACAAGCCCGCACCUCCCAAGCACAUUCAUCUGCUAGAGCGGAUUCAUAGUCUUAACCCGUCUUUUCUUACCUUACGCGCCUUCUAUAUUAAUUUUUAUGCUACAAGUGCUACAACUACAACAAGUGUGUGUGUAUAGGAGAGAGUAUGUAUGUGUGUAACUCGAAUCGAACGUGAAUCGAUUGGAGACGUAUAGGUGUUAGUGAUUUGAACUGCAAAACAUGUGCAAAAGGCAAAAUAAAAGCAUAACAUUCAAACGUUACAAAAGACUUUAACAUGAGUACAUUCUUGGAAGAAUUAAAACAUACUUGGGAGGAGGAGGAAACCGGGGAAACAUUAACAACAGCCGUGCAGCGGAGAUAGAAUAAUGGACAGGACAUCAAAUGUGCUUUCGCAAAACUACUAAACGAGCUAAUCAAAUUGGAGAGGAGAGGAAAAAAACACAAACGGUUUGCUAAAUCUCCCAUCGUCCGGUGCUAGGAUUGAUAGGAGCUGUAAAAAAAGAGAUAGCGCUUGUGUAGAGCAGGACAUCAUCUCUAAGGAGGCCACGCUCUACUACCUAUCUAUACCGUUUUCAUUGAUUAUUGAUUAAUAACUAUUCAAACCGCACACACGUACACAAGCGCAGUUCCAGGAUCACAUGGUGAGGCGGAUGACCGGUAGUUAUACUAGUAACACACUCACACACACACACAUACAUAUACACGCAGCUUUGUUCUCGGCUUGGCAUAGAACUUGCUAUUGCGCACGUAUAAAACACUCACGACGUCACACACACACACACACACACAUACAAGGAAAUGAGGGCUUAAAGUGCUGCGGAUUGAUUUAUUUAGGAAGCGGAACGAAUGGGAAUGCGCGUUGUGCGGUGGUGUAUUUGUUGGCCGGUUUUUGGAAUGUGUGAGAGAGAGAGAGAGAGAGAGAGAACGUGAGAUAAUCCUAGUAUUCUAAUACUGUUAAAUUAUGAUGUAUAAAAAACACACACACACACACUGAAACAACAAAAACACACACAAAUUGUGAAGGUGGUGUUGUGGUGGUGUAUUUUGGCAAACACACUUACACACGCGCGCAGAGCACAGGCAGAGGAAGACAUAACCCAAUACAUUCACAAAAAGUUGCCUGUAACGAUGGCGACGGUGCACACAGUUCACACUACCCACACACCGCAAGCAUACGGUCUAGUUUAAAACUAAUACUACGAGUAAAUGUGUUAAUUUAUGUGUACCACCAUCACCACCACUACCACCACUACCACCAAGAGAGGACUUUGAUUCUCUCUGUCUCUCCGCUCUUUUUAACUCUGGCUUUCAGAGUAAAGGAGCGCGAGUGUGUGCGUGUGGUGGUGCAGCAAAGACGGAGUUUUCUUCCUUCUUCUUUCUUUUAACAACAACAAAACAGCGCCAGCACGUUAAGCAAAAGUCACGUAAAACAGAACGGAGCUGAUAAAUGGUAGGUGAGAAAAAAAAAAACACGUGAAAAAGAAUGUUAAAUAGGAUAAUAUAACAGUAGCAGCAGGAAGAAGAAGCACGACACACGAGAAAACGUGAAAGAGAGAGAGAGAGAGAGAGAGAGAGAGAGAGAGAGAGAGAUAAGGAAAAAGAGAAAGGAAGAGUUAAAUUAUUCAACUGUAUGAUGUUUUCCAAAUGAUAAUGCGUUUUUUUUUCAUUUCGUUCUUCUCUUUAUCUUAUUCUUUUUUGCAAUAAAACCAGAAGAAUAGUAACAUUGA